GAUAAGAGCGGCGUGGCGGUCUCGACCAUUGGUCAGAGGCCAUGUGACCUAGCCGCCCGCAGCUGCAGCCGCCUCCUCUCCUCUUCCUUGUUCUCCUGCCGCCGCCGCCUCCUCCUCUCCUCUCCCCGAAUUCUCCUACCUCAGUCGUCGUUGUCGCCGCCGCCGCCGUCGACCUAGACGUCACCGGCUGAGACCGCUGUGGUAUGGAUAAGGAGACGAGAGGAAGAGGACAUCCUUCCCUGACAGCGCCCCGACCUGCCAGGUCUUCCUCCUCGUCGGCCUAGGUCUGGUUCUGCUGGAUUAGAUGGACAGAAGUGGUGGAUCCGAUGGUUGCCGGAAUCCCUCAUCGUCGGAGGAAGGCGUGCGACCGGCAAAGAAAUAGGCUGAUGGAGCAGGAUGGGGUGGCGGUUCAAGUUCGGCGGCCUUCACGUGUUGUGGUUGGCGGCGCUCCACUUCCCUUCUCCCCUGCCCAGAUUAUCCUUCAAAGGAGGCCACAAAGAGCAGCGAUGGCUUCUUGGUAAUCUGCAAUUGGCCACAAAGGAUGAGGUACAUGGAGAUUGCCAGCUACCUUCCAUUGGUGUAUAUGCAAGCUACAGAGAAAACCAAAUAUGCACCAUGCCGAUAUGCUUCAUGACGAGUGUGCUUUUGUCAUCCCUCACCCUCUCAGAUGGCCAUUAGGUGCUAACCAAGAGGUGCACGCCAUGAAUCAAACUACCGAGGGGGCAUACAGUAAUAAGGAGGGAGUGGCUAUCGCAGCGAAGCUACCCUCCCCCUCAAUCAUGCACUGCUUUUCAAACGCAGUUUGCCACUGCUGUUUAAUUAGCUUCUGCAUUAGCACCGGAUUCAGAGUUUAUUCUUCAGCGGAUUCAAUUUGCGGGAGACUCCUGUUGCAGUUUGGUGACAUAGAUCAGUGUCAAGUCGCUUAACAAAUGCAGCUAGGUUCCAUUCAGUUAGCCAAAGCCAUUGUGCAUUAAAAUUGUAGAUGUGCAUGAGAGUGUGGAAAUCAUUAUGGCACGUCUAUGAGCAUGCUAUACUCCCAUGCUACUUUCAGUUAUUGACCACUAGCUUUAUUACAGCACCCAGGAUUUCAGGGUUUGCUUUACUUAGGUUAGUAUGUACUCUACCACAGAUGAAUUGGUUAUAUCUCAUUUUAAUAUACUUCAUUAGUAAUUACUAAAUAAUCUAAAGCGAGUUCUAUGGCAAAUUUUGUUUGGGUCUACUUUUUUGGAUCAUUUCCAUAUCUACAUUUCUUACAUAUAAAGGUAUGCUGCAAAAAUUAAGGGUCUGGAUGGUAAUUUAUGGCUGUUUCAGUUGCUGACCAUGUGAUUAUGGUAGUCUACAAUUUGCUUAUGGGUUCUUCAUUGCUUGAUUUUUAUCUCGGACAAAAGAGGGCCAGCCACACCUUUGAAAUAAGCAGCGGCCAUCCAGUCCAGAACAGACUGAAUCUGCUCGACAAAGUGUGAAAAUGCAAUUACUGCUUGGACAAGUGUAAAAAAGGCCAGGGUAUCAUUUAUGUAGUUAUUUGGAAUGCAAGGUUAGGAAAUCUAAGAAAUAAGAUGAGAAGAGGAAUCUAGCAAAGGAAGGUGAAUCUUUUCUCUUGUGAAUACAACAAGAUUAUUGAAGAUUUUUGCUGCCAUGGAAUUGUGAGUUUGUGACUAUACAUUCUUGUGUCUUGAAGAUGUAUUGUCUCUGUAUGUGAAUGUCAAUAUCCAGAGUCCAUGAUAUCAUACAGUUUGAAGUCAAAAAAUUCAUGAUAUGGGUGAUAUGGAAAAGUCAUUGCCUUCUUUGCUGGAACAUUCCCUGAUUGCCUGGACUUCUUGGGUCAAUUGCUGGACGCCACCCCCGUCUCCUGGACGUCAUGACGCCGCCGAUUUCCUUGACGCCGCGUGCCACCGAUCUUCUAUAACUCAAUUUCUCCAAUUUCUCUCGGCUGUGAGCUCAUAUAUAUUUU